rnacentral:lncRNA from 1 species
UAUCAUAUGUGAUUAUCUACAGCUUUACAUACUCGGUACAUAUUUCGUACUGAUGUCCCCCACGGGGGACCUGCAUUUCAUGCUGCAGGCAUAGGUACCUCAGCUCAUACACCGCACAAGUAGGAGCCAGGAUAUCCAGCUGCUUUUGGUGAGCUCCAGUUUGCUUCGAGGCUUUUCGUGUCAUAUCCAGUCACUUUUGGUAUUGUAUAGAAGUUAGUUAUAUGGCGGGGUGUGUCCCGACCUUAGUUA